GUUAACGUAGCUUAACUAAAGCAUAACACUGAAGAUGUUAAGAUAAGUCCUAGAAAGACUUCGUAAACA
rnacentral:tRNA from 2 species